rnacentral:rRNA from 1 species
UACGUAGGUCCCGAGCGUUGUCCGGAUUUAUUGGGCGUAAAGCGAGCGCAGGUGGUUUAUUAAGUCUGGUGUAAAAGGCAGUGGCUCAACCAUUGUAUGCAUUGGAAACUGGUAGACUUGAGUGGGCGAGAAGUAUGCGGAAUGCGUGGUGUAGCGGUGAAAUGCAUAGAUAUCACGCAGAACUCCGAUUGCGAAGGCAGCAUACCGGCGCCCUACUGACGCUGAGGCACGAAAGCGUGGGUAUCGAACAGG